AAUCAACGCUGGCGGCGUGCCUAACACAUGCAAGUCGAACGCGACUGAGGCUUCGGCCUCAGUCGAGUGGCGAACGGGUGAGUAACACGUGGGUGACCUACCUUCGAGUGGGGGAUAACGUCCCGAAAGGGACGCUAAUACCGCAUAACAUCCCGCCUUUGAACAGGUGGAGAUCAAAGCUGGGGAUUGCAAGACCUGGCGCUUGAUGAGGGGCCCGCGUCCGAUUAGCUAGUUGGUGGGGUAAUGGCCCACCAAGGCAACGAUCGGUAGCCGGCCUGAGAGGGCGGACGGCCACACUGGGACUGAGACACGGCCCAGACUCCUACGGGAGGCAGCAGUGGGGAAUUGUUCGCAAUGGGCGCAAGCCUGACGACGCAACGCCGCGUGGAGGAUGAAGGUCUUCGGAUUGUAAACUCCUGUUGCCCGGGACGAACGGCUCCGAUCUAACACGUCGGAGUGUGACGGUACCGGGUGAGGAAGCCCCGGCUAACUCUGUGCCAGCAGCCGCGGUAA
rnacentral:rRNA from 1 species